rnacentral:rRNA from 1 species
AGACCCGAAACCCGGUGAUCUAGCCAUGGGCAGGUUGAAGGUUGGGUAACACUAACUGGAGGACCGAACCGACUAAUGUUGAAAAAUUAGCGGAUGACCUGUGGCUGGGGGUGAAAGGCCAAUCAAACCGGGAGAUAGCUGGUUCUCCCCGAAAGCUAUUUAGGUAGCGCCUCGUGAAUUCAUCUCCGGGGGUAGAGCACUGUUUCGGCUAGGGGGCCAUCCCGGCUUACCAACCCGAUGCAAACUGCGAAUACCGGAGAAUGUUAUCACGGGAGACACACGGCGGGUGCUAACGUCCGUCGUGAAGAGGGAAACAACCCAGACCGCCAGCUAAGGUCCCAAAGUCAUGGUUAAGUGGGAAACGAUGUGGGAAGGCCCAGACAGCCAGGAUGUUGGCUUAGAAGCAGCCAUCAUUUAAAGAAAGCGUAAUAGCUCACUGGUCGAGUCGGCCUGCGCGGAAGAUGUAACGGGGCUAAACCAUGCACCGAAGCUGCGGCAGCGACACUGUGUGUUGUUGGGUAGGGGAGCGUUCUGUAAGCCUGUGAAGGUGGCCUGUGAGGGUUGCUGGAGGUAUCAGAAGUGCGAAUGCUGACAUAAGUAACGAUAAAGCGGGUGAAAAGCCCGCUCGCCGGAAGACCAAGGGUUCCUGUCCAACGUUAAUCGGGGCAGGGUGAGUCGACCCCUAAGGCGAGGCCGAAAGGCGUAGUCGAUGGGAAACGGGUUAAUAUUCCCGUACUUGGUGUUACUGCGAAGGGGGGACGGAGAAGGCUAUGUUGGCCGGGCGACGGUUGUCCCGGUUUAAGCGUGUAGGUGUGUGUUCCAGGUAAAUCCGGUUCACUUUAACACUGAGGCGUGACGACGAGGCACUACGGUGCUGAAGCAACAAAUGCCCUGCUUCCAGGAAAAGCCUCUAAGCAUCAGGUAACAUCAAAUCGUACCCCAAACCGACACAGGUGGUCAGGUAGAGAAUACCAAGGCGCUUGAGAGAACUCGGGUGAAGGAACUAGGCAAAAUGGUGCCGUAACUUCGGGAGAAGGCACGCUGACACGUAGGUGAAGUGAUUUACUCACGGAGCUGAAGUCAGUCGAAGAUACCAGCUGGCUGCAACUGUUUAUUAAAAACACAGCACUGUGCAAACACGAAAGUGGACGUAUACGGUGUGACGCCUGCCCGGUGCCGGAAGGUUAAUUGAUGGGGUCAGCGCAAGCGAAGCUCCUGAUCGAAGCCCCGGUAAACGGCGGCCGUAACUAUAACGGUCCUAAGGUAGCGAAAUUCCUUGUCGGGUAAGUUCCGACCUGCACGAAUGGCGUAAUGAUGGCCAGGCUGUCUCCACCCGAGACUCAGUGAAAUUGAACUCGCUGUGAAGAUGCAGUGUACCCGCGGCAAGACGGAAAGACCCCGUGAACCUUUACUAUAGCUUGACACUGAACAUUGAGCCUUGAUGUGUAGGAUAGGUGGGAGGCUUUGAAGUGUGGACGCCAGUCUGCAUGGAGCCGACCUUGAAAUACCACCCUUUAAUGUUUGAUGUUCUAACGUGGACCCGUAAUCCGGGUUGCGGACAGUGUCUGGUGGGUAGUUUGACUGGGGCGGUCUCCUCCUAAAGAGUAACGGAGGAGCACGAAGGUUGGCUAAUCCUGGUCGGACAUCAGGAGGUUAGUGCAAUGGCAUAAGCCAGCUUGACUGCGAGCGUGACGGCGCGAGCAGGUGCGAAAGCAGGUCAUAGUGAUCCGGUGGUUCUGAAUGGAAGGGCCAUCGCUCAACGGAUAAAAGGUACUCCGGGGAUAACAGGCUGAUACCGCCCAAGAGUUCAUAUCGACGGCGGUGUUUGGCACCUCGAUGUCGGCUCAUCACAUCCUGGGGCUGAAGUAGGUCCCAAGGGUAUGGCUGUUCGCCAUUUAAAGUGGUACGCGAGCUGGGUUUAGAACGUCGUGAGACAGUUCGGUCCCUAUCUGCCGUGGGCGCUGGAGAACUGAGGGGGGCUGCUCCUAGUACGAGAGGACCGGAGUGGACGCAUCACUGGUGUUCGGGUUGUCAUGCCAAUGGCACUGCCCGGUAGCUAAAUGCGGAAGAGAUAAGUGCUGAAAGCAUCUAAGCACGAAACUUGCCCCGA